rnacentral:rRNA from 1 species
GACGAACGCUGGCGGCGUGCUUAACACAUGCAAGUCGAACGGAAAGGCCCUGCUUUUGUGGUCUGCUCGAGUGGCGAACGGGUGAGUAACACGUAAGUAACCUGCCCUUGACUUUGGGAUAACUUCAGGAAACUGGGGCUAAUACCGGAUAGCAGCUGCUGCUGCAUGGUGGGGAUUGGAAAGUUGCGGCGGUUGGGGAUGGACUCGCGGCUGAUCAGCUUGUUGGUGGGGUAGUGGCUUACCAAGGCUUUGACGGGUAGCCGGCCUGAGAGGGUGACCGGGCACAUUGGGCCUGAGAUACGGCCCAGAGUCGUACGGGAGGCAGCAGUGGGGAAUAUUGCACAAUGGGCGGAAGCCUGAUGCAGCAGCGCCGCGUGCGGAAUGACGGCUUUCGGGGUGUAAACCGCUUUAGCCUGUGACGAAGCGUGAGUGACGGUAAUGGAUAAAGAAGCACCGGCUAACUACGUG